rnacentral:rRNA from 1 species
GAUGAACGCUGGCGGCGUGCCUAAUACAUGCAAGUAGAACGCUGAAGGAGGAGCUUGCUCUUCUGGAUGAGUUGCGAACGGGUGAGUAACGCGUAGGUAACCUGCCUGGUAGCGGGGGAUAACUAUUGGAAACGAUAGCUAAUACCGCAUGACAACAGUUAUUGCAUGAUAACUGUUUAAAAGGGGCAACUGCUCCACUACCAGAUGGACCUGCGUUGUAUUAGCUAGUUGGUGAGGUAACGGCUCACCAAGGCGACGAUACAUAGCCGACCUGAGAGGGUGAUCCGCCACACUGGGACUGGGACACGGCCCAGACUCCUACGGGAGGCAGCAGUAGGGAAUCUUCGGCAAUGGACGGAAGUCUGACCGAGCAAAGCCGCGUGAGUGAAGAAGGGUUUCGGAUCGUAAAGCUCUGUUGUAAGGGAAGAAAGAGUGUGAGAGUGGAAAGUUCACACUGUGACGGUAUCUUACCAGAAAGGGACGGCUAACUACGUG